rnacentral:rRNA from 1 species
UGCUAACGUCCGUCGUGGAGAGGGAAACAACCCAGACCGCCAGCUAAGGUCCCAAAUUACUACUAAGUGGGAAACGAUGUGGGAAGGCUCAGACAGCCAGGAUGUUGGCUUAGAAGCAGCCAUCAUUUAAAGAAAGCGUAAUAGCUCACUGGUCGAGUCGGCCUGCGCGGAAGAUGUAACGGGGCUAAGUAGUAAACCGAAGCUGCGGCAAUGUGCUUUUGCACAUUGGGUAGGGGAGCGUUCUGUAAGCGGUUGAAGGUGUGUGGUAACGCAUGCUGGACGUAUCAGAAGUGCGAAUGCUGACAUGAGUAACGAUAAAGGGGGUGAAAAACCUCCUCGCCGGAAGACCAAGGGUUCCUGUCCAACGUUAAUCGGGGCAGGGUAAGUCGACCCCUAAGGCGAGGCCGAAAGGCGUAGUCGAUGGGAAACGGGUUAAUAUUCCCGUACUUCUUACAAUUGCGAUGGGGGGACGGAGAAGGCUAGGUGGGCCUGGCGACGGUUGUCCAGGUUCAAGUGCGUAGGCUUAAGAGUUAGGUAAAUCCGGCUCUUUUUAAGGCUGAGACACGACGUCGAGCACCUACGGGUGUGAAGUCAUUGAUGCCAUGCUUCCAGGAAAAGCCUCUAAGCUUCAGAUUGUAAGGAAUCGUACCCCAAACCGACACAGGUGGUCGGGUAGAGAAUACCAAGGCGCUUGAGAGAACUCGGGUGAAG